UUGGGUUUUCUCAGCGGGGCAGGGCAUAUCUGCUUGAGGACACUUCGGCGUCAUCUCCGUAAGCGGAAGGUGAGUCCAACAGAGGACUUCGGCGUCAACUUCCUUGAUGUGCUCCACCCACCUCUGCCUCUGCGUUGGCAGAUGAACAGGCUCGCCGUUCAGUUCAACAGUUUAGUUGGGACCUCAUAGUUCUAUUCUCGGCUGACAUGGUGAUCUUCCCAGGUCUUAGAACCCACAAGCUGGUCAGUUGUGGACGGGAGGAAGCCCCAUUCAAGGAGUGAGAAAGAGAACCUAGAAAUAGCAGAGGUGUCCUUCAGCUCCCUCCUCACUCCUCUUUUUGUUUGACUUUGGUGAAUGAGGAAUCUUGCUGCCAUUCUCGUCCCUGGACUGCUCGUCAGGACCUGAGGCUGUAAUUCCUCUUUCGAGUCAACGUAGUGAUCUCCCUCUCUCUCCCUCUCCCUCUCCAUCUUUCCGCCGGCGUAGUAUCUAUGAUGUACUUCACCUAAACUUUUUAUCGUUCUCAACGAUGGAUAUCAUCAAUGAGUUCCAAUAAGCUUAGCUCGCGCAUGGCAUCGCUGAUAAGGAAGCCUUCGGUCAUGGGACAUUUGGACCACGUUAACGAGGUCUGACUGUAUUCGCCUCUUAAAUGCCUAAAAGACCGUGGACGGGGGAAUUUAAGACGUCCAAAUGGAGAUUUUCCCAUUACUGAUCAGAGAGAUCACAUCAUUUAUUCUUCCGUCUCGAUAAAACCAGCGCAUUGCUUACUUUCGUCUAGACCACUUCUUUAUGCAUCAAUUAGACUACCAUCUACAUAUAGCUCCAGCCUUAAAGGCUGAAUAUCUUCUUCUUUUAACAUCGUUACACUUCCGUCUCCAUAACACCGGCCUUCGCGACGUACUCUCUCCUUUUCCUCCUUUUGUGACGCAGACCAGCAGCCCUCGCGUGGGAGAAGACGUCUCUCAACAUCAUGAGAGAGAUGGGGGCUCUUGAUCGCUCCCAGAGUGCUGUUCCCAGUUAUUGGAACUGACUGUUGCUUGACGCGUUCGAGUUAAUGCGUGCCAUGUGAGAUGAGAGGUUGGUGACCGACCAUCGAUACCCCACCGCCUCUCACUUCCAUCCUCCCGUUCAGUAGCAUACGACCAUGUUCAGCUUGUUUUGUGCGGAGAUGGAUUCCAAGUGCCAACUAAGGGAAUAAAUUCUCACAUGGUCAGAGGCAAAUGAGCCGUGUAAGCUGGUGUCCGACCCGGAGACCCCGUCGUCUGCAAACUUCUAGAGGGCUCUCGUCUCUCUCUCUCUCUCUCUCUCUC
rnacentral:lncRNA from 1 species